ACCCAGAGGCAGCGGUCGUAGAAGCGCUGCACCCCAGCACACACACACACACACACACACACACACACCACCUGCUGGUUGCAUCUUGCAAGCGAAGAUUCCUCUCUCUCUCUCUGCCGUGUUACUCCGUCGACACCCCAUCCACCCACCCACCCCAAAGCCUUCUUUCAGAGGCACCUUGUGUGCCGUGCUGUCGCCUAUCCACUCGGGCUCUCGCGGUCCCUCUUCGCUUCUCCUCCCACCCCACGCCACCCGUCGCUGUGAGAGCGAGAGGUGCGGGCCACGCAACGCGGCACCCAUCUAUAUAGUCACGCGCGGUGCAUGACGCCGUAGAAGCAAUGAUAAACCAUGUCCCUCGCCCACACAUCCACCAGCGGAUCUCGGUGGAGGACAUCAUGAAGGGCAACCGCCGCGCCCUGGCCAAGGCCAUCACCCUUGCCGAGAGCUCCAACCCUGCCGACUCCAUUCGCCUGGGCAACCUGCUCCGCGAGGUUCACCAGAUGGCGACGCUGCGCACCGUGCCGCGCUUCGCGCUCUCUGGCAGCCCCGGUUCCGGUAAGUCAAGCCUCCUGGACACACUCGGAUACUACCUGUGCGAGAAGAAGAGCAUGCGCGUUGGCGUUCUGGCUGUCGACCCAUCCUCUACCAUCACGCACGGCAGCAUCCUCGGUGACAAGACCCGCAUGGAGAAGCUUGGCACGCACCUGAACUCGUACAUCCGUCCAUCGCCAUCCGGUGGGCACCUCGGCGGCGUCACCUCGCGUGCAUGGGAGGUGCUGGAGAUCUUCGAGGCCGCGAGCUUCGACGUCGUCUUUGUCGAGACCGUCGGCGUUGGCCAGAGCGAGACACAGUGCAAGGACCUCACGGAUAUGAUGAUCCUCCUCGUGCCGCCCGCCAGCGGGGAUGAGCUUCAGGGCAUCAAGAAAGGCGUCGUCGAGGUGGCGGACAUGGUCGUUGUCACGAAAAACGAUGGCAGACGCAAGCCCCUGGUGCAGCAGACCACGUCCGCCUACGCCCGCGCCGUCAUGUACACGGAGAAAAAGCAGGGCUUCGAGAAGCCGGUCAUCGCCGUCUCCGCCGAGGAAGGGACGAACGUGCCGGAGCUGUGGGAGGCGAUGAUGCAGAUGUGGAACACACGCCUCGAGAGCGGCCAGGUCGCUCACCUGCGCCGCGCCCAAUCGACGAAGCACUUCUACAACUACUUCGAGAUGGAGCUUCUGGCGAAGGCGCGGCGGAUGGCGAACCUGGAGAUGCAGAACAUGGCGCACCGCGUCUGGGAACACGAGAUGACACCGCGCGAGGCGGGCGACAUCAUGGUGCUGCGCACGUUGCGGGAGCACUUGGCAGCGGAAGCGGCCGUGCAGCAUGGCGCUGGAACAAUGGCGUGAGGGGAGAGCGAGCCGAGCGUGACUGGAAGGUAGAGAGCGAGGUGAACCGUCGUGGGAGGCACAAGGAGGAGAGAGAGAGAGACGCAACGGUAGAUAAACUGGCUGAUCGGGGUGCACACCCACCCACCCACCCACACACACACACACACACACACACAGGGGAGAGCGUAAGCAGCAACUCAGCUGCACUCUACCACCACUCUCCUGGCCCCCUCGCCUCCCCCACCCCUUAUCCUCUCGCCUCUUGCGGCUCCGUGAAGGAGGUGUUGGUGUGGAGGGAUGGAGGCCUGGAGAGCGGUGGUAGAGGAGCGGUCGAUGAAGCGCUGUCUUCACCGAAGGGACCGUAGUGCGGCACGCGAGCGCACCUCUUUCCGAGUCGGGGGAGGGGAUAUCAGCCUUUGCGGUGCACCACUGCAUCACCCACGCCACGCUUUCUUGGAUAACCGCCACGACGGUGCACCGUCACGGCCGCCCUUCUUCUUCUGCCUCUGCUCUGUCCGUCGUGUCGCCUCUAUUCCAGUGCCGCGCGGAUGUGGGAUGAGGCACGCAUGCGUGCACCACGCGCACUCCACCACCACCUCUCUCUCUCUGUCUCUCGUCUCUGCGUGAUCGUACUCUGUUCCCCAUCGGUGCCGUUGUGGGUGUGUCCUUCUUUUCCGUUGUUGGCAACGUGGUGAUCUUCACAUCCUGCACGCACACGCGCGCGCGCGCACACACACGCAUGUGUGCGUACGUGUAG
rnacentral:misc_RNA from 1 species